rnacentral:lncRNA from 1 species
ACCAACUUAUGUUUUUAAUGAAUAUAUUUCUUUAGUAAGAUAGCCAUUAAAGCAUAUUAACUAAGUGGUAUAUUUUAAAACAAUGCAAGUCAAACACAUAUACACACAUAAGACAAUUUGGUUCUAGACAUGGACAGCUGAUGCAACAAGGUAUAGGUUUUUAAGUCCGGUAAAGGAAGUAGGUUUAGACAAAGCAAAAAAUCAAGAAGUAUUUCUUUCUCAAAGCAAAUGUGCAUAAAGACUCAAAGGGUAGAUCAGCACAGAAAAAGCAGCCUUGAAUCGCUGCCGAAUCAGCAGGAACAUCGCUGUCCAUGGUCACCAUAUAUAAUCACCAUGCCCAAAUGUCAGCAUCUUGGCUGGCUGGUGUAGUCUUAUUUUUUGUAAUAGAAUACUUGCAUUUAAUACAGGAUGUUGAUUUAACUCAAUGAUGAGAAAGUUCUAACUUCUAAAUAGUUGAAACAAAUAUUAUUUGAAAAUGAAAGUAUAUAUAAACAGUAAAAUAGAAUACACUUAUAUUCAAGGUAUCUUACAGGUAAAUUCUAAAUAAAAAUACAUUUCUAGACUAUUUAGUUAUAUGGAGUUACACUGUAGGUUUACUGGAGAUUUGUAGCAAUUUUAAGUAUCUCAUAUCUAUUAGAAACCAAUUUAAGAAGAGUCCACUUUGAGCAAUUAAGUACCAAAAAAACAAUAGGG